GCCUAUAUGCUGAAAUUGGUAAACAGAAUAAACUUAAAAUUUAUCGCUAUAAUAGCUUGUUGGUUCGAAUCCAACUAUAGGUA
rnacentral:tRNA from 1 species